CCUCGUGGCAGAGAGGUAUCCCAAUAAUAAAAAGGCAGCUAGGAUGGCAACUCUCAGUGAUUUUGACUUUUCUGAUGACCAAGGAGAUCCUCCAUCUCCUGUGAUAGGGCUUCUGAACCAUGGUUCAAGAGAUCAAGAAGGUUGGAUUCUGACGCUAGUAAUGAUAGUAGGAGUGAUGUUGGGCAGUCACAGGUUCGUAAAAAACGUAAAAGGCGUCCGUCUAAGCCUUGUUCAGAAGAUGAUGUCCCGAUAACAGAAGGCUUCAAAGAAAUCAAGAAAAUGUUACGAUCCCUCACUAAAAAAGUGGAUCGAAACGAGAAAGUACUGAAGGAAAUUCAAGAGGCUAGGUUGAAUAUCUAGGUAGGUAUAACCAAUUGUAAUGAAUAUCAAAAAUAUGUGUAAUGCACCUUGACCAUUAGUAUGAAGGUUGCACUAAAAAAACCAACCGAGUCACUAGCGUGUGGCUUCUACUUCUCCUUCAAGUUCAGACUGUACUCCAACAAGGAAGAAAAGUGUUCCUCUGAAAGUUCGGCACGAAGUAAGGCAAAUUUACAAGAAUCUUGUGGACGACAAGGAGAAUUUCAAUGGCUGGUGUACUGCUCCAGGGUAUGUCUAUUAAGUCAGACGAGAACAAUACUGUAAUGAAGACGGUCAUAAAAGAGAUGCUCGCAAACUAAAUGCGAAGAAGACUCUUUGAAAAGAUCUGGAAAAAUGGAAGAGAAAAAAAUUGGGAGAAGACGUCACGAAAGAAUAACUCGGGUAAGUAUAUUCGGGUAUAUUCGGGUAAGUAUAUUAUUUUUGUAUUUGCUGGAACUUUGUAGCGGCACUUACCGGACAAUGUAUCAGUUCAGAAAAAUGGGAAGCUUACGGAACAACAAAAGAUGAAGUGGCUGAAAGUCAUGGACAACGUAUAAUGUCUUCGGAAGAAAGUGGAGAAGAAGAUUCCAUGGUUGUUCACUGUUUGCCCUGGAGUCGUUAAUCUAAUGUUCGAUAGGUAUUGUCUUUUGAAAAAGUCACCUCAGGCAAGGAGGCAAGGAGGCAAGGAGGCAAACUAAAACGAGAAUCCAAAGAGAAAGUUCGACCCAUCCCAGCAGAUCCAGUCGCUUGGGCCAUUACUCCAAAUCCCUAACUCGUUACUGUACAGACAGUAUAGUUAUUAAUAUUAUUGAUCUCUGAUUUUUCAAUUCUUUGUGCAUCAGGUAUUAUUGUGAUUAUAAU